rnacentral:misc_RNA from 1 species
UGGGUGAAUCAUCCUUGGUUUCAGAAGCAGAAAUUUCAGAGUCUGUAACCUCUUCACACACACUAUCUGCAGAGAGUUUGUGAGUUGCCCAAUUUGGAAUAUGUGACUGAAUUUCUGAGUCAAUCAUUGCAGCAAUUGUUGAAACAUCUUGAUCAGUCAAGUCCAACUCCUCCACCAUUUCACUAGCAACAGCUAUUGCUGUAUCUACCUCAAUAUCAAAGGGGAAGUGGAUAUUGCGGAUAUGACCUGUGGAAUCAGCUAUUCUUAGUUUCAGAAAUAUUGUGUUAACAUCUUUCAUCUGUCCUUGUACAGUGAAGUCCCUACUUCGGUCAGCUGAUGAAUCCUCAGCACUUCUACUAAUAUUGGUCUGAUCAGAACUACCACCUGAAUGAUGCAAAUUGGAUCGUAAAGAAUGGCCUACACUUUCAUUUUCCUCAUCAGAUCGGAGAAAAGGAUCCAUCAACAGUUCCUUUGCAGGCAAUCGGUCAGAGACUUUCGCAAUACAUUUUUCUAUAAAUGCUUUAACAGAAGGAUCUGUCACCUUUGCUAAUGAUGCAGGCUUUAUUCCUGAUAUCACUUUCUUGUAUAUUUGAGCAGCAUUGGCACAUUCCACAUAUGGGUAAUCAAAAGUCACCAACUCCAGCAAGCACAUGCCAAAGGCAUAAAUGUCAACAAGCUCAUUGUAUUCCUCCUCGUAAAGCUCUGGUGCCAUAAACUCUGGUGUACCAAUUACACUAUGAGCUGCACGUGCCUGCUGAAGAAUGGCAGCCAAACCCAAGUCACCAAUUUUCACCUCACCUUGGUUUCCAUUAACAAAGAUGUUGUCACAUUUUAAAUCUCUGUGGAUAACUGGUGGGUCACGACUGUGAAGAUAUGAAAGGCCUUCCAAAAUCUGCCUGGACCAUUUUUUCAAUGCUCUCAAAUCAACGUGCUUAUGUUUUUUCCGGUACUGCCGCAAUGUCCCAGAAGUGAAAAUCUCAGUGAUGAAGUUGAUAGUCUCAAUUUUGGUGUCGACCCACGAAUUAUAAAAUUUGAUGAUGUUUUUGUGUUUCAAAGUCUUAAGCAAAUGAACUUCAGAGUACAGACGCUCCAAAUCAGCAGCAUCACGCACAAGUUCCGCGACCUUAACCUGAUUCCAAGCUACUUCUAUUCCUUCCAAUUCAUCAAAUGCUCUGUAUACUUUUUUGAAAGCCCCUCUCCCUAGAACCUCCUUAUACCGACCAUAUCGACCGGUAGGGUCAAUCUCCACGAACUCAGCAUCGGAAUCAUCAGGAUCUUGCUCAGGCUGCGAUUCCUGCGGCAUCGAAUCGAGACAAAAAGAUAGAUACCUAAAGCAACGCGUCGGCAAAAGAGUUUGGAUCAAUUUUAUUGAUUAGUGCAUUACUGCAAUAGGUUUCCAAACUUUAAGUGGGAUCCGUACCGAACCCGCGAAAUUAAACGGGUUUCGCGGGUUCGAAAAAUACCUUGGAACAAAAAGGGGAGAAUGGAGGUUUGAAAAUUAGGAAACGGAAGAAGAAAGGAGAGGAAGAAUAGAGAGAAGAAAGUUUGUAUGCUGAGAGAGAAGCUAGGAGAUUAAUGGCGACGGCCAAGUCAGAUGUGUGAUACUGUGUAUAAAGGUUGGAUUUGGAGUUACAUGUGAAAAGAACGAACUUCUCUGCCACCUCUACACAACCCAACCUAACCUUC